rnacentral:rRNA from 1 species
AUUGAACGCUGGCGGAAUGCUUUACACAUGCAAGUCGAACGGUAGAGGGGGCAACCCCUUGAGAGUGGCGAACGGGUGAGUAAUAUAUCGGAACGUGCCCAGUCGUGGGGAUAACGUAGCGAAAGUUACGCUAAUACCGCAUACGAUCUAAGGAUGAAAGCGGGGGAUCGCAAGACCUCGCGCGAUUGGAGCGGCCGAUAUCAGAUUAGGUAGUUGGUGAGGUAAAGGCUCACCAAGCCAACGAUCUGUAGCUGGUCUGAGAGGACGACCAGCCACACUGGAACUGAGACACGGUCCAGACUCCUACGGGAGGCAGCAGUGAGGAAUAUUGGUCAAUGGACGCAAGUCUGAACCAGCCAUGCCGCGUGCAGGAUGACGGUCCUAUGGAUUGUAAACUGACUUUUGUACGGAACGAAACGGUGAGCU